GUCAGUUCUGGGUCCUGGUCUCCUGCCUCUGAACCUGCCGGGAACCUGUGGGCGCCGGCGCCUGUCUCCACUCACGUGACGUGGGACUCAGUGACCCCUGAAGGCUUGGGGGACAUCUGCAUUCUGGAAAGAAACCAAUGUGGGAGAGAAAAUGAAAGGACGACAACUUGUAAAAUGCUAGGCUGAUGAAUAACUCUCAGUAGGGCUCUGGAGUAGUAAGUUCUGACAUUUAUUUUCCCAAGUAA
rnacentral:lncRNA from 1 species